GGGGGUUUUUUGCCUUGACCAUGCGAGUUAAUAUUUUUAAAAAAUAUAGCGAACGGGUGAGUAAUAAUUAGGAAUCUACCUUUUAGUAGGGAUAAAUCCCCUAUAAAUUUCUAUAAAAUAUAAUUUAUUAAAAAGAUAUAAAAUCGCUAAAAGAUGAGCCUGAUAAAGAUUAGGUAGUUGGUAGGGUAAAAGCCUACCAAGCCUAUGAUCUUUAGUUGGUCUGAGAGGAUGAUCAGCCACACUGGGACUGAGACAAGGCCCAGGCUUCAAUAGAAGCCAGCAGUGGGGAAUAUUGGACAAUGAGCGAAAGCUUGAUCCAGCAAUACUAAGUGGGUGAUUGACAGCUUCGGUUGUAAAGCCCUUUUGUUAGAGAGGAAAAUGACAGUAUCUAAAGAAAAAGCCCCGGCAAAUCUUCGUGCCAGCAGCCGCGGUAAGACGAAGGGGGCGAGCGUUAUUCAGAUUGAUUAGGCGUAAAGGGUUCGUAGGCGGCUUUUUGGGAUUCUAGGUGAAAUACUAAAGCUCAACUUUAGAAAAGCUCUGAAAUAAAACCUUAAAGCUUUGAGUUUGAAAGAGGAUAGUAGAAUUUUAGAAGGAGGGGUGAAAUCCAAAGAUAUCUAAAGGAAUACCAAAGGCGAAGGCAACUAUCUGGUUCAAUACUGACGCUGAGGAACGAAAGCUUGGGGAGCAAAGAGGAUUUGGUACCCUCGUAGUCCAUGCUGUCAACUAUGAAUGCUCGUGUUUUGGUUAUAAUACUGAGACACUUAGUUAACACGUUAAGCAUUCCGCCUGAGGAGUACGAUCGCAAGGUUGGAACUCAAAGGAAUUGGCGGGGAUCUAUACAAGUGGUGGAGCAUGUGGUUUAAUGCGAUAAUCCGCGCGAAAUCUUACCAGUUCUUGACUUGUUUUUUGUUAAAUAUAUAAAAAAUAACAGGUGUUGCAUGGCUGUCGUCAGUUCGUGUUGUGAAAUGUUUGGUUAAGUCCAUAAACGAACGUAACCCUUUUUUUGAGUUAGAGUUUUCUCUCUCAAAAUACUGCUUAUUGCUAUGCAAUAAGAGGAAGGAAAGGAUGAUGUCAAGUCCUCAUGGCCCUUAUGAACUGGGCUACACACGUGCUACAAUGGUAAAAACAAUAAGAAGCAACUUUGUAAAAAGAAGCAAAUCUUUAAAUUUUAUCUAAGUUCGAAUUGUGGACUGCAACUCGUCCACAUGAAGUUGGAAUCACUAGUAAUCGCAAAUCAGCACGUUGCGGUGAAUCCGUACCUAGAUCCUGCACACACCGCCCGUCACAUGCCGGAAAUAAACUUUACUUGAAAUUUUUUAAUUUUUAUUUCUAACAAAUUUUUUAAUAAUGAUUGAAUUAUUUUUGAUAUGUUGUUUUAUAAAAAUAAAGUGAAAAGAAGAGGGUC
rnacentral:rRNA from 1 species